ACUCCUACGGGAGGCAGCAGUGAGGAAUCUUGCGCAAUGGGCGAAAGCCUGACGCAGCAACGCCACGUGGGGAUGACGGCCUUCGGGUUGUAAACCUCUUUCGGUCUUGACGAAGGCAUCCUUGCUAGGGGUGUUGACGGUAGGGACAGAAGAAGCACCGGCUAACUACGUGCCAGCAGCCGCGGUAAUACGUAGGGUGCGAGCGUUGUCCGGAGUUACUGGGCGUAAAGAGCUCGUAGGCGGUUUGUCGCGUCGGCCGUGAAAUCCUGCUGCUUAACGGCGGGCUUGCGGUCGAUACGGGCAGACUAGAGUUCGGUAGGGGAGACCGGAAUUCCUGGUGUAGCGGUGAAAUGCGCAGAUAUCAGGAGGAACACCGGUGGCGAAGGCGGGUCUCUGGGCCGAUACUGACGCUGAGGAGCGAAAGCGUGGGGAGCGAACAGGAUUAGAUACCCUGGUAGCUACGAGU
rnacentral:rRNA from 1 species